AGCCGCCCUGGAGCCCCGCCCACGGCGCUCGACGGCCAGGGAAACUGCGGGAGCUGGGCGCUCGGUGGGGGAAACCGAGCAGCGGACGCGAGGGGGCGGGAUGAGGCCCCCAGGGCGGGGCUCGGGGCUGCGUGAUACCUGGAGGGGUCUGUGAAGGGACGUUGAGCAAGGUUUGACAUUUAGGGACCAUCCCCCAGGCUGUUACCAUGGCUGCCAGGCGGUAGGAGAGGCGGGAAUGGCCCAGCCGAAGUCUCUGUCGUCAGUGGUGCCCGAAUAAGAAGUGAGAGGAGGAAGUGGAAGGCAGCGUCUGGUGUCUAAAGAGCGGCUAGCCACCACAGGGCGUCAGCAGCACAAGCUGGGGACUCCAUGUCCCAGCACCCAUCGACCAAGAAGCAGAGGCGGCAAUGCGGUGCCCCUGUCUGUCCCCUCCUCCCCCAGUCUUCCCAAAUCUGUUAUGCCUUCACAGUUAACAUUUAUUGAGCACUUACCAUGUGCAGUG